UGGAGAGUUGUCCGAGAGGCCGAAGGAGCAGCAUUGGAAAUGCUGUAUACGGGUUAAAGCCUGUAUCAAGGGUUCGAAUCCCUUACUCUCCGU
rnacentral:tRNA from 1 species